rnacentral:rRNA from 1 species
UACGUAGGGUGCAAGCGUUGUCCGGAAUUAUUGGGCGUAAAGAGCUCGUAGGCGGUUUGUCGCGUCUGCUGUGAAAAAUCCAGGGCUUAACCCUGGACCUGCAGUGGGUACGGGCAGACUAGAGUGCGGUAGGGGAGAUCGGAAUUCCUGGUGUAGCGGUGAAAUGCGCAGAUAUCAGGAGGAACACCGGUGGCGAAGGCGGAUCUCUGGGCCGUAACUGACGCUGAGGAGCGAAAGCAUGGGGAGCGAACAGGA